AGCUCCUUGUCAUCCAGACAGAGGACCAGCUCUCUCUUCGGCAGGAGGAAGGCAAGAGGCUCCUGGACGAGACCGAUGUUCACAUGCCCAAGGUUUCCGUACUUGGAGAGCUGAGUGGGUGGAAUGCCUGACCCACAGGUCUGUGCUAUCUGAGCUGGUGGAAAAAGGACUUGGAGACAGCGAUUUAAAUAAGGAACAAGGUCUUCCAGGAAGACAGUGCAGAACUGGACAAAGAGCUCUUGCUCCUCACUGUUGAAAGCAGCCUCUUCUGCACGAUGGAAGGCCAGGAUUGUUUUGGUUACCUAGGAGACAGGGGCACCAUCAGUCACUAGACUAUCACCAUCAGUGGUACCUGAAACUAAGCACAAAUAUGCAGCCCUCAAGUUUUCAUAAAGAAAGUCAUUCCAAACAGUACAUUAUAUUACUGUCUUGUUUAAAUUCAGAAUUGUGGUCUCUCCACAGUUCUUUCGCUUCGUUGAUGUAUUUUUGACUCAAACCCAACUUGUUUCAUUACUGGCACACUUUCCACUUCUAGUGGAAGAGCAUCAAGGUUCUUGACUCCUACAGGAGAUGGACCACAACUAUAUUGGGUCCAGGAAAAUGAGGCAAAAUUAUAAAAUAUUUUUACUGAGUAAGGCUUCUGAGGUUCUAGGAAGCUAGACCGCUAAAAAAUUAUAAAAGAACACUGAGCUAAAAAAGAAGUUCCACAUUAAAAUAAAAGAGCAACCUAGCUGA